AGAAUCAACGCUGGCGGCGUGCCUAACACAUGCAAGUCGAACGAGAAAGUGGGAGCAAUCCCAUGAGUAAAGUGGCGCACGGGUGAGUAACACGUGACUAACCUACCCUUGAGUGGGGGAUAACCUAGGGAAACCUGGGCUAAUACCGCAUAAUACCUACGGGUCAAAGGAGCAAUUCGCUUUAGGAGGGGGUCGCGGCAGAUUAGUUAGUUGGCGGGGUAAUGGCCCACCAAGACAGUGAUCUGUAUCCGGCCUGAGAGGGCGCACGGACACACUGGAACUGAAACACGGUCCAGACUCCUACGGGAGGCAGCAGUGGGAAUUUGCGCAAUGGGGGAAACCCUGACGCAGCAACGCCGCGUGGAGGAUGAAGCCCCUUGGGCGUAAACUCCUUUCGAUCGGGAAGAUAAUGACGGUACCGGAAGAAGAAGCCCGGCUAACUUCGUGCCAGCAGCCGC
rnacentral:rRNA from 1 species